UUGCAUAUGUAGGAUGUCCCAU
rnacentral:miRNA from 8 species